GCUUCGUGGAUCUAUAUAAUUACAAAUAUUACAUUUUAACCCAGUUUAUCACCCCUUGAGAAAUGUGGUUUAUUCUAACUCAGUUACAGUGAGUGGCAUAGCGAUUAUCUCGGGUUCUAGUUGAAGCGGACGUGGUUAGAUCUGGAAAAUGAAAAGCUUUCUAACCCGGGCAUCAAACCAUUUGGCUAUCAUCCUGAUUAGACUAACCAAUCACCUUACAAGUUUCAAAUCAUGUUCAACUAGACAGUCCCAGCCAGGGAGCAGUGCUCAUCAUCUAGAUCAAACAUCUACAUAAGAAUAAUAUAUGAAGUAAUUAC
rnacentral:sRNA from 1 species